rnacentral:rRNA from 1 species
AACGAACGCUGGCGGCAUGCCUAACACAUGCAAGUCGAACGAGACCUUCGGGUCUAGUGGCGCACGGGUGCGUAACGCGUGGGAACCUGCCUUUAGGUUCGGAAUAACUCCCCGAAAGGGGUGCUAAUACCGGAUAAUGUCUUCGGGCCAAAGAUUUAUCGCCUUUGGAUGGGCCCGCGUUGGAUUAGCUAGUUGGUAGGGUAAAAGCCUACCAAGGCGACGAUCCAUAGCUGGUCUGAGAGGAUGAUCAGCCACACUGGGACUGAGACACGGCCCAGACUCCUACGGGAGGCAGCAGUGGGGAAUAUUGGACAAUGGGCGAAAGCCUGAUCCAGCAAUGCCGCGUGAGUGAUGAAGGCCUUAGGGUUGUAAAGCUCUUUUACCCGGGAUGAUAAUGACAGUACCGGGAGAAUAAGCUCCGGCUAACUCCGUG